UCCAGCUUGUAAACUACAUUGAAACGAGA
rnacentral:piRNA from 1 species